GGCUUUUUAACUAUAAAAUAUUAAGUAUAUAUUUUGAAAAUAUAAAAAAGAAAAAACUUCUAAAAGUCU
rnacentral:tRNA from 1 species